UUGGAUAACGAUGGCCUUUGUUCUA
rnacentral:piRNA from 1 species